rnacentral:tRNA from 1 species
GACCCAGUGGUUCAAUGGUAAAGCGCUCGUUGCGUAGCCAGAGAGUCCUGGGUUCGGUCCCCAACAGGGUCG